GACGAACGCUGGCGGCGUGCUUAACACAUGCAAGUCGAACGGAAAGGCCCUGCUUUUGUGGGGUGCUCGAGUGGCGAACGGGUGAGUAACACGUGAGUAACCUGCCCUUGACUUUGGGAUAACUUCAGGAAACUGGGGCUAAUACCGGAUAGGAGCUCCUGCUGCAUGGUGGGGGUUGGAAAGUUUCGGCGGUUGGGGAUGGACUCGCGGCUUAUCAGCUUGUUGGUGGGGUAGUGGCUUACCAAGGCUUUGACGGGUAGCCGGCCUGAGAGGGUGACCGGCCACAUUGGGACUGAGAUACGGCCCAGACUCCUACGGGAGGCAGCAGUGGGGAAUAUUGCACAAUGGGCGGAAGCCUGAUGCAGCAACGCCGCGUGCGGGAUGACGGCCUUCGGGUUGUAAACCGCUUUCGCCUGUGACGAAGCGUGAGUGACGGUAAUGGGUAAAGAAGCACCGGCUAACUACGUGCCAGCAGCCGCGGUGAUACGUAGGGUGCGAGCGUUGUCCGGAUUUAUUGGGCGUAAAGGGCUCGUAGGUGGUUGAUCGCGUCGGAAGUGUAAUCUUGGGGCUUAACCCUGAGCGUGCUUUCGAUACGGGUUGACUUGAGGAAGGUAGGGGGGAAUGGAAUUCCUGGUGGAGCGGUGGAAUGCGCAGAUAUCAGGAGGAACACCAGUGGCGAAGGCGGUUCUCUGGGCCUUUCCUGACGCUGAGGAGCGAAAGCGUGGGGAGCGAACAGGCUUAGAUACCCUGGUAGUCCACGCUGUAAACGGUGGGUACUAGGUGUGGGGUCCAUUCCACGGGUUCCGUGCCGUAGCUAACGCUUUAAGUACCCCGCCUGGGGAGUACGGCCGCAAGGCUAAAACUCAAAGGAAUUGACGGGGCCCCGCACAAGCGGCGGAGCAUGCGGAUUAAUUCGAUGCAACGCGUAGAACCUUACCUGGGUUUGACAUGGAUCGGGAGCGCUCAGAGAUGGGUGUGCCUCUUUUGGGGUCGGUUCACAGGUGGUGCAUGGCUGUCGUCAGCUCGUGUCGUGAGAUGUUGGGUUAAGUCCCGCAACGAGCGCAACCCUUGUUCACUGUUGCCAGCACGUUAUGGUGGGGACUCAGUGGAGACCGCCGGGGUCAACUCGGAGGAAGGUGGGGAUGACGUCAAGUCAUCAUGCCCCUUAUGUCCAGGGCUUCACGCAUGCUACAAUGGCUGGUACAGAGAGUGGCGAGCCUGUGAGGGUGAGCGAAUCUCGGAAAGCCGGUCUCAGUUCGGAUUGGGGUCUGCAACUCGACCUCAUGAAGUCGGAGUCGCUAGUAAUCGCAGAUCAGCAACGCUGCGGUGAAUACGUUCCCGGG
rnacentral:rRNA from 1 species